rnacentral:rRNA from 1 species
GACCUCAAAUCAGGUAAGAAUACCCGCUGAACUUAAGCAUAUCAAUAAGCGGAGGAAAAGAAAAUAACAAUGAUUCCUCUAGUAACUGCGAGUGAAGAGGGAAAAGCUCAAAUUUUAAAUCUGUUAGGUUUACCUAACCGAGUUGUAAUUUGAAGAAGCGUUUUCUGCGAAUUUGGUUAGUCCAAAUCCUUUGGAAUAAGGUAUCAUGGAGGGUGAGAAUCCCGUUCGGUUAACCAAAGCGCUUUACGAUACGCUUUCAAAGAGUCAAGUUGUUUGGGAUUGCAGCUUAAAAUGGGAGGUAAAUUUCUCCUAAGGCUAAAUAUUGGCGAGAGACCGAUAGCGAACAAGUACCGUGAGGGAAAGAUGAAAAGAACUUUGAAAAGAGAGUUAAACAGUACGUGAAAUUGUUGAAAGGGAAACGAUUAAAGUCAGUCGUACCUACGAGUAAUCAACCUACUCGAGUGCGAUUUUGUGGGUAUGUUAGAGUUUAAACCUUCAUGCUUACAAAUUGGUGCUCUUUGGGCGUACUUUCUCGUAUGGUAGGUUAACAUCAAUUUCGAUCGUUAUAAAAUAACUGGAGGAAUGUGGCUUCGCCCUCGGUUGAAGUGUUAUAGCCUUUGGUAGAUGUAAUGAUUGGGAUUGAGGAUUGCAACGGAUACCCUCUGGGCUAUUCGUCUGAUCUCUGGAAGUUACCUUGGUGUCGAAAGCGUGCUUACGAUAUUAAGGUUGACGGCCAAUAGGUUAGAACGUGAUUAAAUUCGUUAAGGAUGUUGACGUAAUGGCUUUAAACGACCCGUCUUGAAACACGGACCA